CAAACACUUUUUACUUUAACGCCAAGCCAACAACACUCUUUACCAAUUUUCAAAUAUGAUGUGAUAAUUUCUUAAUUUAAUGCAAACCAACGUAUCACUAAAAACUAAACCAAGCAAGAACGAAGCGAAGCGCGUUGUGCAGGAAGGAAGGAGGCUGCCGCUGCCACUGCCGCAGCUGCAACAGAAGGAAGCAAGGAAAGCAGCAGAGAAGGAGGAUGUAAAGGAGGAGAAGGUGGAGAGGAAAGUGUAUGGAUCAUUCCCGUCUGUCCCAUUUGAUGACAAUGAGCAAAGGCUGACAAUCCGCUGUAACUGGCGGCCUUUGUUUGAUAAAUUCUUCAAUUUACUUUUUGGAACAUUAACUUUUGGAUACCUUUUUAUGGCACAACCAGAGAAGAAUGAAGGAAUAAAUAAGAGAAAAGAAAACAUAACAUAAACACAGAAACAGUAACACAUUAAACACUCUAAAAUACAAAAGAAAAAUCUGUAUGUACAAGAAGAGGGGAGAGAGACGAACAUUUCUCACUUUCAUUUUACUUUUUUGGAAAAAUAAUAAACGUGUGUGUAUACCUACUACUACC